GACGAACGCUGGCGGCGUGCCUAACACAUGCAAGUCGAGCGAAUGAAGUUCCUUCGGGAAUGGAUUUAGCGGGGGACGGGUGAGUAACACGUGGGCGACCUGCCUCAUAGAGGUGAAUAGCCUUCCGAAAGGGAGAUUAAUACCGCAUAAGAUUGUAGUAUCGCAUGAUACAGCAAUGAAAGGAGCGGUCCGCUAUGAGAUGGCUCCGCGGCGCAUUAGCUGGUUGGUGGGGUAACGGCUCACCAAGGCGACGAGGCGUAGCCGACAGGGGAGGGUGACCGGCCAGAUUUGGGCUGCGACACAGCCCCGACUCCGACGCGACGCUGCAGAGGGGAAUACAGCACAAUGGAGCCAACCGUGAUGACGCAACGCCGGGGGAGUGAUGAUGGGCGUCGUGUUCUGAUGCUCCGUCUUCAGGGACGAUAAUGACGGUACCUGAGAAGGAAGCCACGGCUAACUACGUG
rnacentral:rRNA from 1 species